rnacentral:rRNA from 1 species
AUGAUGCAUGAUACCCUCCCAGUCAAGCUUGGAGAUGGAACCGAGGGUUAUGCCAGUGGCUUCAUGCUUGGAACCGACAAGUGGGCCAGCAUCAUGAUGAACUGGUCAUGGUUUCACAACCACACAAACAUCCAGGAAGGUGUCAUAUGUGCCUUCCACUUCAAGCGCAAGGCAAGGUGUCACGUCUCUCACUGUGCAUCGUCUCUAGGUGCACCACCGUCAACUACAGCUAUGGCCUAUACAUAUGAUCCGUGUAUCGACUCUGCCUCUCUUUGGGAGGUCGCCCGUCUUUUGGAGGAUGUUAGACUUUAA